rnacentral:rRNA from 1 species
UAGGGAAUAUUGGACAAUGGGCGCAAGCCUGAUCCAGCCAUGCCGCGUGUGUGAAGAAGGCCUUCGGGUUGUAAAGCACUUUUGUACGGGAAGAAAAGCACUCGGUUAAUACCCGGGCGUCAUGACGGUACCGUAAGAAUAAGCACCGGCUAACUUCGUGCCAGCAGCCGCGGUAAUACGAAGGGUGCAAGCGUUACUCGGAAUUACUGGGCGUAAAGCGUGCGUAGGUGGUUUGUUAAGUCUGAUGUGAAAGCCCUGGGCUCAACCUGGGAAUUGCAUUGGAUACUGGCAGUCUAGAGUGCGGUAGAGGGUAGCGGAAUUCCCGGUGUAGCAGUGAAAUGCGUAGAUAUCGGGAGGAACAUCCGUGGCGAAGACGGCUACCUGGACCAGCACUGACACUGAGGCACGAAAGCGUGGGGAGCAAACAGGAUUAGAUACCC